rnacentral:rRNA from 1 species
GAUGAACGCUAGCGAUAGGCUUAACACAUGCAAGUCGAGGGGCAGCAUGGUCUUAGCUUGCUAAGACUGAUGGCGACCGGCGCACGGGUGCGUAACGCGUAUGCAACUUGCCUCACAGAGGGGGAUAACCCGUCGAAAGACGGACUAAUACCGCGUACACUUGGGAUAGGGCAUCCUGACCCAAGGAAAUGAAAUUCGCUGUGAGAUAGGCAUGCGUCCCAUUAGCUAGUUGGUGAGGUAACGGCUCACCAAGGCGACGAUGGGUAGGGGAACUGAGAGGUUGAACCCCCACACUGGUACUGAGGCACGGACCAGACUCCUACGGGAGGCAGCAGUGAGGAAUAUUGGUCAAUGGGCGAGAGCCUGAACCAGCCAAGUCGCGUGAAGGAUGACUGUCUUAUGGAUUGUAAACUUCUUUUAUACGGGAAUAACAAGAGUCACGUGUGGCUCCCUGCAUGUACCGUAUGAAUAAGCAUCGGCUAACUCCGUG